ACGUACACUCCUACGGGAGGCAGCAGUGGGGAAUAUUGCACAAUGGGCGCAAGCCUGAUGCAGCCAUGCCGCGUGUGUGAAGAAGGCCUUCGGGUUGUAAAGCACUUUCAGCGGGGAGGAAGGCGAUACGGUUAAUAACCGUGUUGAUUGACGUUACCCGCAGAAGAAGCACCGGCUAACUCCGUGCCAGCAGCCGCGGUAAUACGGAGGGUGCAAGCGUUAAUCGGAAUUACUGGGCGUAAAGCGCACGCAGGCGGUCUGUCAAGUCGGAUGUGAAAUCCCCGGGCUCAACCUGGGAACUGCAUUCGAAACUGGCAGGCUUGAGUCUUGUAGAGGGGGGUAGAAUUCCAGGUGUAGCGGUGAAAUGCGUAGAGAUCUGGAGGAAUACCGGUGGCGAAGGCGGCCCCCUGGACAAAGACUGACGCUCAGGUGCGAAAGCGUGGGGAGCAAACAGGAUUAGAUACCCCAGUAGUCCC
rnacentral:rRNA from 1 species